GCAGUAGGAUAGGCGAAGCGUGCGAUUGGAUUGCACGUCUAAGCAGUAAGGCUGAGUAUUAGGCAAAUCCGGUACUCGUUAAGGCUGAGCUGUGAUGGGGAGAAGACAUUGAGUCUUCGAGUCGUUGAUUUCACACUGCCGAGAAAAGCCUCUAGAUAGAAAAUAGGUGCCCGUACCGCAAACCGACACAGGUAGUCAAGAUGAGAAUUCUAAGGUGAGCGAGCGAACUCUCGUUAAGGAACUCGGCAAAAUGACCCCGUAACUUCGGGAGAAGGGGUGCUCUUUAGGGUUAACGCCCAGAAGAGCCGCAGUGAAUAGGCCCAAGCGACUGUUUAUCAAAAACACAGGUCUCUGCUAAACCGUAAGGUGAUGUAUAGGGGCUGACGCCUGCCCGGUGCUGGAAGGUUAAGAGGAGUGGUUAGCUUCUGCGAAGCUACGAAUCGAAGCCCCAGUAAACGGCGGCCGUAACUAUAACGG
rnacentral:rRNA from 1 species